rnacentral:rRNA from 1 species
UACGGGGGGGGCAAGCGUUGUUCGGAAUUACUGGGCGUAAAGGGCUCGUAGGCGGCCAACUAAGUCAAACGUGAAAUCCCUCGGCUUAACCGGGGAACUGCGUCUGAUACUGGAUGGCUUGAGUUUGGGAGAGGGAUGCGGAAUUCCAGGUGUAGCGGUGAAAUGCGUAGAUAUUAGGAAGAACACCGAUUGCGAAGGCAGCUCGCUGGGACGGUACUGACGCUGAGACGCGAAAGCGUGGGGAGCGAACAGG